GCUUAAAUAAUUGUCAUUCACUGAAAUGAUUAAAAGAAAAAAAAAUCUACAUACUCUUCACAAAAACUGCUUGGCCAAUCUGGAGGCAUACUCAAAAACUAAAAAGAAAUAAGCUAGAAAGUAGACAACUAGCUAAACAGAAACGGCACCAUCAGUAACAUCCUCUACUCUAAAUCCUAUUACAUCACAUUCAAAAAGUACGACAAUAAUCUACCACAUCCAGACUUCAGCAAUUUUAAAGCCAUAACAUAAUCCACAACAUUGGUUUGAUGAUCAAGUGUUAAUUAACUAAAACAUAAAUGAAAAAGGAAAGCUAACAACUUAAAACCAAAA
rnacentral:misc_RNA from 1 species